CCCGCCUGGGCCCAGCUGCCGGGGACAGGGGUGAGCACGCCAGGGGGCAGGCACAGCGAGAGAAGAAUGUGGACAGGCCAAUCUUGGGGGCACUUGACUCUGUAUGCUGCCCCUGCCCCCACGCAGCACCAUGGUGCCUCGGUGGAUUGGGUGGGAAGCUCCAAGCAUCCACCACCCCAGACCGAAGAGACGUCGAUAUACAUGAGCAUGACACUGCAGCGGGAUACAUGUCAUUAAUGUUCCAAUUGCUGUAAUGCAGAACUCGUCCAUGCACAGCCUCAUCACAGAACCCCCCCAAAAUCAGAGGCAACUGUAGCCCAGGCUGUGCAGCAACGACAUGGGAGACUUUCUCUGGAGCCACAACUGGACCAUGCACAGUGACCCGAAGUGUGGUAGGACACUGGAAUAUUCUCAGGACACAUGGAGCAUGUUUGCCUUUUGGAAAAAAAUGUUUCUUCUGAAUAAAAUUGGGAAAAAAUACCCAAACUCUC